CGCUGGCGGCGUGCCUAAUACAUGCAAGUCGAACGGUCUUUCUAUGGAAGCUUGCUUCCACUGAGAGGAUAGUGGCGAACGGGUGAGUAACACGUGGGUAACCUGCCCAUAAGAGGGGGAUAACAUCCGGAAACGGGUGCUAAUACCGCAUAGUUUUCUUGAUCGCAUGAUCGGGAAAGGAAAGACGGCCUUUGUGCUGUCGCUUAUGGAUGGACCCGCGGCGUAUUAGUUAGUUGGUGAGGUAACGGCUCACCAAGACGAUGAUACGUAGCCGACCUGAGAGGGUGAUCGGCCACAUUGGGACUGAGACACGGCCCAAACUCCUACGGGAGGCAGCAGUAGGGAAUCUUCCGCAAUGGACGAAAGUCUGACGGAGCAACGCCGCGUGAGUGAAGAAGGUUUUCGGAAUCGUAAAACUCUGUUGUCAGAGAAGAACAAGUUGGAGAGUAACUGCUCCAGCCUUGACGGUAUCUGACCAGAAAGCCACGGCUAACUACGUGCCAGCAGCUGC
rnacentral:rRNA from 1 species